UACGUAGGGUGCAAGCGUUAAUCGGAAUUACUGGGCGUAAAGCGCGCGUAGGCGGCUUUGCAAGUCGAGUGUGAAAUCCCCAGGCUCAACCUGGGAACUGCAUUCGAGACUGCAUAGCUAGAGUAUGGGAGAGGGAAGUGGAAUUUCAGGUGUAGCGGUGAAAUGCGUAGAUAUCUGAAGGAACAUCAGUGGCGAAAGCGACUUCCUGGACCAAUACUGACGCUCAUGUGCGAAAGCGUGGGGAGCAAACAGG
rnacentral:rRNA from 1 species